AGGAUAAUUCGUUGCAUGGAUGGAUAUAUCAUAAGGGCUUUGUGUCUGAAGUGUUUGUUCCAUCGAACAGCCUUGGAACAAGAAGUUUUUCUGAUCUUCCUUCCGUGUCAGACUCAUGUUAUGGGGUGGCAAUUUCGCCUGGAAAUUUGGCACUUGCUGUGGCACGCAGAUUUGAUGCUGGACAGUUAGAUAAUAUGUACCAGAAAAGGUACUACUUCUGAUUUUUCUUUCGAUGUUUCCAGUGAUAACUUACAUAGUUCAUACGAGG